rnacentral:rRNA from 1 species
CCUACGGGUGGCAGCAGUGAGGAAUAUUGGUCAAUGGCCGGAAGGCUGAACCAGCCAUGCCGCGUGAAGGUCAGUGCCCUAUGGGCGUUAAACUUCUUUUGUGCGGGAGCAAUAAUGGUCACGUGUGCCCAGACGAGAGUACCGUACGAAUAAGCAUCGGCUAACUCCGUGCCAGCAGCCGCGGUAAUACGGGGGAUGCAAGCGUUAUCCGGGUUUAUUGGUGUUAAAGGGUGCGUAGGCUGGGAGUUAAGUCAGCGGUGGAAUGCCCACGCUCAACGGGGUGAAGUGCCAUUGAAACUGACGUGCUGGAAUGCGGAUGCCGUGGGAGGAAUGCGUGGUGUAGCGGUGAAAUGCAUAGAUAUCACGCAGAACACCGAUUGCGAAGGCAGCUCACGGAUCCGCGAUUGACGCUGAGACACGAAAGCGUGGGUAUCAAACAGGAUUAGAUACCCUUGUAGUC